AUGGAGAGCAGCGGACGGGUGAGUAACGCGUGGGAAACCUGCCCUUGACAGGAGGAUAGCCGAGAGAAAUUUCGAUUAAUACUUCAUAAAGCAGAGCAUUCGCAUGGAUGAACUGCCAAAGAAUUAUCGGUCAAGGAUGGUCCCGCGUCUGAUUAGCUGGUUGGUAAGGUAGCGGCUUACCAAGGCGACGAUCAGUAGCCGGCCUGAGAGGGUGAACGGCCACAUUGGAACUGAGACACGGUCCAGACUCC
rnacentral:rRNA from 1 species